UACGGAGGGUGCAAGCGUUAUCCGGAUUCACUGGGUUUAAAGGGUGCGUAGGUGGGUUGGUAAGUCAGUGGUGAAAUCUCCGAGCUUAACUUGGAAACUGCCGUUGAUACUAUCAAUCUUGAAUAUCGCGUAGGUAAGCGGAAUAUGUCAUGUAGCGGUGAAAUGCUUAGGUAUGACAUAGAACACCAAUUGCGAAGGCAGCUUACUUCACGAUCAUUGACACUGAGGCACGAAAGCGUGGGGAGCAAACAGG
rnacentral:rRNA from 1 species